rnacentral:lncRNA from 1 species
ACCGUAACUUUAAGUUGUUGAAAAGAAAAAGAGACUCCGAGGAGGACAUCGAUGCCUUUUUUCCAUGAGAACCAACAUUUACUGAAUAAUAUAGGAGUGUUAUUUUUUCAUCUAAGUCGAUAAAUCUUUAAAUAGAGACAUUUUUUUCUUUAGGGUCAAAAUCUUGGGUUAUUUUCUUUAUGGUAUAGAAGGAGGUGAGAUUAGCUAGGUUCCCUUUUCUUCAUUUUUUUUUCAUUUCCUGUUCUGCUAUUCCAAAAUUUUUUGCUUUAUGUUCUACUUAUCUUAUCUUACUUUCCUACUAGUUAUUCUGAGUAAUGCCGUAAUGCGCUGCGCUACAAAGUUUGUGGGACUCAAACAACCAGACUAAGAAAGGUGGAAGGCAAGCCAUGUGCUUACACGUGUCGCGCGUCAUGACUCACGAGCCCUUAGGGCGUCCACAAUGGUGUUCAAAUCACUAGCUAU